rnacentral:rRNA from 2 species
CAGACCUCUAAUCGGAAAAGACUACCCGCUGAGUUUAAGCAUA